rnacentral:tRNA from 1 species
GGAGGGAUGGCAGAGUGGUCGAAUGCACCGGUCUUGAAAACCGGCAGGGGUUAAUAGCUCCUCUAGGGUUCAAAUCCCUAUCCCUCCGCCA